rnacentral:rRNA from 1 species
AACGAACGCUGGCGGCAGGCUUAACACAUGCAAGUCGAGCGCCCCGCAAGGGGAGCGGCAGACGGGUGAGUAACGCGUGGGAACGUGCCCUUUGGUACGGAGUAGCUCCGGGAAACUGGAAUUAAUACCGUAUGUGCCCUACGGGGGAAAGAUUUAUCGGCAAAGGAUCGGCCCGCGUUGGAUUAGCUAGUUGGUGGGGUAAUGGCCUACCAAGGCGACGAUCCAUAGCUGGUCUGAGAGGAUGAUCAGCCACAUUGGGACUGAGACACGGCCCAAACUCCUACGGGAGGCAGCAGUGGGGAAUAUUGGACAAUGGGCGCAAGCCUGAUCCAGCCAUGCCGCGUGAGUGAUGAAGGCCUUAGGGUUGUAAAGCUCUUUCACCGGAGAAGAUAAUGACGGUAUCCGGAGAAGAAGCCCCGGCUAACUUCGUGCCAGCAGCCGCCGUAAGAC